UGUUCGACGUGCCAUGUUUGCCUGAAGAACAUCCCGUCAUUACUUUUAGAACCCAUCCAUUAUGCCCUCUGCGUUCUUAACCCGAGUGGUCCGAUACUAAAUAAAACAUCGGUGGCCGUUUCUCCUCCGUGGUGCGUUGGCCCGUCUCUCUCCUCGCUCACCCCCUGUUGCCAGCGGGUAAGGGUGUGGUCCCUUUACCCUGGUUACCCUUGGUGCUGUACCCUGACGUUUGGCUGCCCUCAAGACCUUAUUUACUCAUAAAAAGGCACUUGAAGAUUUAUUCCUGGCUCCUCACUGGUCUUGUUAAGUAUAUGGUGAGAGCUCACAGCUAAUUAUAUGGACUUACGGACCGGCUAGGCGCUUACAUUCGGACGUGAAAGGAGCGGCACUUUCUCCAGGACGGUUCAGAGGACCGUGGGCUGGGAAAUACUGCAUACCGUUCGCCGGUGUACCCCGGUCCACAGAGACACUGGCCCGUUGACGAGAGGCAGACGCCGUCGUUGUGACACUGGCACUCCUGGGAACAGUUGCGGCCGAAGCGGCCUUCCGGACAGGGUUGCCCGCACACCGUGCCCUGUGCACAACAACGCGACAACAACAACAACAAAAACAACAACAACAACAACAACAGCCACAGCGGAUGCACUCACAAAGCGCCGGUGUAUCCUGGCGUGCACGUGCACUCCCCGGUGACGUGGUGGCAGGCCGCUCCGUUCUGGCACAGGCACCUCUGCUGACAGCCGUUUCCGUAGGCGGCGGGCUCGCAGCGGGCCUCGCAGCGCCAGCCCCUGUAGCCCGGCGGGCAGAUGCAGGCGCCGGUGAUGGGGUUGCACAGCGCGGCGUUCUGACACUGGCAGCGGCUGC